AUUGAACGCUGGCGGCAGGCCUAACACAUGCAAGUCGAACGAGUGGCGGACGGGUGAGUAAUGUCUGGGAAAAUGCCUGAUGGAGGGGGAUAACUACUGGAAACGGUAGCUAAUACCGCAUACCAUCGGAUGUGCCCAGAUGGGAUUAGCUAGCGGGUGGGGAAAAGGCUCACCAAGGCGACGACCCCUAGCUGGUCUGAGAGGAUGACCAGCCACAAUGGAACUGAGACACGGGCCAGACUCCUACGGGAGGCAGCAGUGGGGAAUAUUGCACAAUGGGCGCAAGCCUGAUGCAGCCAUGCCGCGUGUAUGAAGAAGGCCUUCGGGUUGUAAAGUACUUUCAGCGGGGAGGCGUUACCCGCAGAAGAAGCACCGGCUAACUCCGUGCCAGCCGCCGCGGUAAUUC
rnacentral:rRNA from 1 species